UACGUAGGGUGCAAGCGUUAAUCGGAAUUACUGGGCGUAAAGCGUGCGCAGGCGGUGAUGUAAGACAGAUGUGAAAUCCCCGGGCUCAACCUGGGAACUGCAUUUGUGACUGCAUCGCUGGAGUGCGGCAGAGGGGGAUGGAAUUCCGCGUGUAGCAGUGAAAUGCGUAGAUAUGCGGAGGAACACCGAUGGCGAAGGCAAUCCCCUGGGUCGACACUGACGCUCAGGCACGAAAGCGUGGGGAGCAAACAGG
rnacentral:rRNA from 1 species